GCCCGGGUGAUGGAACUGGUAUACAUGAGGGACUUAAAAUCCCUUGCCCGAAAGGGCUUGCGAGUUCGACUCUCGCCCCGGGCA
rnacentral:tRNA from 1 species